rnacentral:rRNA from 1 species
UACGUAGGGUGCAAGCGUUAAUCGGAAUUACUGGGCGUAAAGCGUGCGCAGGCGGUUGUGCAAGACGGAUGUGAAAUCCCUGGGCUUAACCUAGGAAUUGCAUUCGUGACUGCACGGCUAGAGUGUGUCAGAGGGGGGUAGAAUUCCACGUGUAGCAGUGAAAUGCGUAGAUAUGUGGAGGAAUACCGAUGGCGAAGGCAGCCCCCUGGGAUAACACUGACGCUCAUGCACGAAAGCGUGGGGAGCAAACAGG